GAAAUAUUAACUGUUUCAUUUAAAUUUUUUAUAGAAUUUUAUUUUUUAGUUAAAAAGCUAAAAUAAAUUUAAAAGACGAGAAGACCCUAUAAAUCUUUAUAUUUUGUUUAUUUUAAUUAUAAAGAUUAUUUUUAUUAUAAUAAAUUAAAAUAUUUUAUUGGGGUGAUAUUAAAAUUUAAAAAACUUUUAAUUUUAUAAACCAUUAAUUUAUGAAUAAUUGAUCCAUUAAUAAUGAUUAAAAAUUUAAGUUACUUUAGGGAUAACAGCGUAAUUUUUUUGGAGAGUUCAUAUCGAUAAAAAAGAUUGCGACCUCGAUGUUGGAUUAAGAUAUAAUUUUGGGUGUAGCCGUUCAAAUUUUAAGUCUGUUCGACUUUUAAAUUCUU
rnacentral:rRNA from 1 species